GCACACUACUUUCUUCUUAUCUAAUAAGAAGAAUUUUGGUUGCGAUUGUUCUUUGAAAACUAGAUAACAGUAAUUGCUGAGGAAAAGUGAAACUUUUCUUUAAUCAAAUCAAUAAAUAACACAACAUUAUGUUGUACCAUUUAUUCGCUAAUGGUUAAGUUAGAAAGGGCGCACGGUGAAUGCCUUGGCACUAGGAGCCGAUGAAGGACGGGACUAACACCGAUAUGCUUCGGGGAGCUGUAAGUGAGCUUUGAUCCGGAGAUUUCCGAAUGGGGAAACCCGG
rnacentral:misc_RNA from 1 species